rnacentral:rRNA from 1 species
CAUGGCUCAGGACGAACGCUAGCGGCGUGCCUAAGAAAUGCAAGUCGAGCGAGGUUAGGGAGCUUGCUUCCGAAGCCUAGCGGCGAACGGUCGCGUAACACGUAAGGAACCUGCCCCGAAGUGUGGGAUAGCCCCGGGAAACUGGGAGUAAUACCUCAUGUGGUCUACUGGAGGCAUCUUCGGUAGUCUAAAGCAGCAAUGCGCUUCGGGAUGGUCUUGCGGCCUAUCAGCUAGUUGGUGGGGUAAUGGCCUACCAAGGCGACGACGGGUAGCUGGUCUGAGAGGAUGGUCAGCCGGACUGGGACUGAGMCACGGCCCAGACUCCUACGGGGGGCAGCAAUUAGGAAUUUUGCGCAAUGGGCGAAASCCUGACGCAGSGACGCCGCGUGACUGAUGAAGUCUUUCGGGA